UGGGAUAUCGCCAAGCGGUAAGGCACGUGGCUCUGACCCACGCAUUUCGGAGGUUCGAAUCCUUCUAUCCCAGCCA
rnacentral:tRNA from 1 species